rnacentral:lncRNA from 1 species
AGAGAAAACAGAGGUGACUGGGGAUUCAUAAGCCCACUUCACCUAUUUACCAGCUAACACAACUGGCUGGGCGUCCCCAGCAUGUUAAUUAAAGCUAAUUCUGACAAAGGACUUCAGAGUCUCUUCACAGUGGCAAGUUGGCAACACAUUUCAAGGGAUUCAAAUAAACAUGAAGAUUGAAUAUUGAUUUCUUUGUUCAAAAAGGAACUCACAAAAUUAAAAGAAAGAAAGAAAGAAAGAAAGAGAGAGAGAGAGAAAGAGAGAAAGAGAGAGAUGAAGAAGAGGAUGUAAACAUUGCUACCUUGCUCUUCUCUGUCCCUAUUUGGACUUUGGCUUUGCAGUAUUUUCAGUUUGGUGUCAAGAAACACAAAGAGAAGACCAGAGAAUGGAGAAUACCAGGGAACUACCAGAUUCUAACCUGAAAUUUCUACUUCAUUUGUGGAAGCACCCUGAGAACAGAGAAGAUGGAGGUAUGGGGAAAGUAAAACACUGCUUUGUGUUAUAUGCUGGCAGAUUUCUGUAUCAGUUCCUCAUAAAUACAUCUGAGGAGUAUAAAUGAAAAUUGCCAGACAGAGUGAAGGUAAAAAGCAAGAACUGUCUUUGUAAUCUACGUUUUAUCUGCAAAAAGAGAAUUAAAUUUUUAGCCAGGACCUAAA